UACAGGUGGUUGUAUAUUAGAUAUAUAUAACUCAUACGCUUUCCAAGCUUAUGUAACCCGAUUUUAAAAUAAUUCUAAAAAUGUUUUCAGCAGCACCUCAAAUAUUCAUGACGAGAACAGUCUAUAUCAAUACAACCAGCCAACAGCCUUAAUACGGCUGUGUGCCUGUCGCUUCCUUGCUUUGUAUUCAAUACCCACGUGAAACGCCACAGCCAUGGAGAAAUCCUCUGACGUCAUGUCCAGACAGACACGCCAUUUUGAGUUUGGAGUCGGCCACAGUGAGACCGGGAGGGGAAAGAAGUCAUCACGGAAUAUUUUCAAGCUGGCUACACUAACCAUGAAAUAUGCUCUCUUCUUUGUCACAAUGACAAUAUUCAUAUAAGUGUACGAACACUGAAACGAAGACUGAGAACACUUGGACUUCGUCGACACAAGGAAGUUAUUGAUCAUCAGAGAGUAAUACAUGCCGUUCAGAGUGAGUUACAAGGAAGUGGUUGUUGUCUUGGCUACAGGAGCAUGACGGAACGUUUGCGUAAUGUGCACGGUUUGAGGGUUCCUAGGGACUACGUUAUGAAGCUUUUAAGGGUCAUGGACUCCGACAGGGUUGCAGUUCGAAGAUCUCGCCGCUUUACAAGGCGUUUACAUCACAACAAAGGGCCAAAUUAUCUCAUACACAUCGAUGGCUACGACAAACUGAAACCAUUUGGGUUUGCUAUCCAUGGUGCAAUAUGUGGCUAUUCGAGAAGAAUACUAUGGCUAAAAGUGGGGAGGAGCAACAACCACCCAUACACUGUCGCCCGUUUCUUCAUGGAAUAUGUUG